rnacentral:pre_miRNA from 11 species
UUUUAACAAACUAAUCAUUAUUGUGAAAGACCCCCAGAGUGGGGAAACCCUCACUCAAGUCUCGGGAUAAGCCGACGCCCCAAUAAUUCAAGAGAGACG